rnacentral:rRNA from 1 species
AAACUUUCAACAAUGGAUCUCUUGGUUCCGGCAUCUAUGAAGAACGCAGCGAAAUGCGAUAAUUAAUGUGAAUUGCAGAAUUCAGUGAAUCAUCGAGUCUUUGAACGCACAUUGCACCCCCUGGUAUUCCGGGGGGUAUGCCUGUCCGAGCGUCAUU